rnacentral:rRNA from 1 species
CCAGCGGAGGGAUCAUUACUGAGUUUACGCUCUAUAACCCUUUGUGAACAUACCUAUAACUGUUGCUUCGGCGGGUAGGGUCUCCGUGACCCUCCCGGCCUCCCGCCCCCGGGCGGGUCGGCGCCCGCCGGAGGAUAACCAAACUCUGAUUUAACGACGUUUCUUCUGAGUGGUACAAGCAAAUAAUCAAAACUUUUAACAACGGAUCUCUUGGUUCUGGCAUCGAUGAAGAACGCAGCGAAAUGCGAUAAGUAAUGUGAAUUGCAGAAUUCAGUGAAUCAUCGAAUCUUUGAACGCACAUUGCGCCCGCCAGCAUUCUGGCGGGCAUGCCUGUUCGAGCGUCAUUUCAACCCUCAAGCUCUGCUUGGUGUUGGGGCCCUACAGCUGAUGUAGGCCCUCAAAGGUAGUGGCGGACCCUCCCGGAGCCUCCUUUGCGUAGUAACUUUACGUCUCGCACUGGGAUCCGGAGGGACUCUUGCCGUAAAACCCCCAAUUUUCCAAAGGUUGACCUCGGAUCAGGUAGGAAUACCCGCUGAACUUAAGCAUAUCAAUAAGCGGA